GCUGACACAUCCCGGCCAAUCUCCAGCAGACCCUCCCUCCAAGACCCUUCUACUUCCUGGACAGCAUCCAUGUUGAAGGCAGCUUCAACAUGGAUGCUGUCCAGGAGGUGGGAGGGUCUGGGAGGGAGCGUCUGCUGGAGAUUGGCCGGGAUGUGUCAG